CCUACGGGUGGCUGCAGUCGAGAAUCAUUCACAAUGGGGGAAACCCUGAUGGUGCGACGCCGCGUGGGGGAAUGAAGGUCUUCGGAUUGUAAACCCCUGUCAUGUGGGAGCAAAUUAAAAAGAUAGUACCACAAGAGGAAGAGACGGCUAACUCUGUGCCAGCAGCCGCGGUAAUACAGAGGUCUCAAGCGUUGUUCGGAAUCACUGGGCGUAAAGCGUGCGUAGGCUGUUUCGUAAGUCGUGGGUGAAGGGGGCGGGCUCAACCCGCGGAAGGCACAUGAUACUGCGAGACUUGGGUAAUGGAGGGGGAACCGGAAUUCUCGGUGUAGCAGUGAAAUGCGUAGAUAUCGAGAGGAACACUCGUGGCGAAGGCGGGUUCCUGGACAUUAACUGACGCUGAGGCACGAAGGCCAGGGGAGCGAAAGGGAUUAGAUACCCGAGUAGUC
rnacentral:rRNA from 1 species